AGCGAACGCUGGCGGCAGGCUUAACACAUGCAAGUCGAACGAACCUGUCGGGGUUAGUGGCGGACGUGGGAGGAACACGUGGUAACGUACCUGUAGGUACCGUAUACCUCACGGAAACAUGAGCUAAUACCGCUUGUGCUCUUCGGGGGAAUGAUUUGUCGCCUUUAGAGCGGCCCGCGUCUGGUUAGCUAGUUGGGUGGGGUAAUGGCUCGCCAAGGCUACGUUCAGUGGCUGGUCUGAGCGGAGGCUCAGCCAGAUUGGGGCUGAGACAUGGCCCCAACCGCGACGGAGGGGUGCAGUAGGGUGUCCUGCGGACUGAGCGCAAGUGUAGCGCCGCCGUGUCGCGUGUAUGAGGAAGGGCUUAGGAUUGCGAAAUUCUUUGUGCGGAGGCGUUAGUGACGGUACCCGGUGAAGAAGCCCCGGCUAACUACGUG
rnacentral:rRNA from 1 species